UACUUAAUAUGGAUUUUUUUAAAAUUCUAAUUGGGAUUUCACAGAGAAGUUAACGUCCAAAAAGAUCAAGAAAACGAAUGUAAGGGCCAUCAAUAUUUCGCCAUGUGCCGACUGUGUAAAGGAAGCUAUCGUUCGUGUGUUUUCCUACCAUGUUGUCACAUUUUGUUUUGUUGGAACUGUGGACAACAUUUCAUAAGCUGCGAUGAGUGUCAAUCGGUGGUGAACAAGCGGAUGCAUGUAGCAAUGGGAAGGUCCUCGCCAAAUUAACUCUUUUAUGAAGAAAGCUUACAUAGGCAUUGCCUUCUGCCUUAUGCAUUUAUGUAAAUAAAUAUUUGCAUAAUAAACUCUAUAUGUAUCGUAUCCUUGAAAAUCAUAUGCUAAACAACUUUCAACAAAAACAGAUCAUCUUUCCUCAUAAGUUCUAAGUUCCAGGUUGUCAUUACGAUAUCAAAUGAUUCUAUAGACGAAUGUGUAUAAACAUGAUAAAUGUAUAAAAAAAAAUCAACCUACCAUAAUGUUAUAUUUGGAGAUACAUUGUAGUUUUGUGCAUUGUAUAAUCAUGAAAUAAAGCGAACAAUAAAAACAAAACAAAAACA